rnacentral:rRNA from 1 species
GACGAACGCUGGCGGCGUGCCUAAUACAUGCAAGUCGAGCGAAGUUUUUCUGGUGCUUGCACUAGAAAAACUUAGCGGCGAACGGGUGAGUAACACGUAAAGAACCUGCCUCAUAGACUGGGACAACUACUGGAAACGAUAGCUAAUACCGGAUAACAGUAUUUCUCGCAUGAGAGAUAUUUAAAAGUUGGUUAUGCUAACACUAUGAGAUGGCUUUGCGGUGCAUUAGCUAGUUGGUGGGGUAAAGGCCCACCAAGGCGACGAUGCAUAGCCGACCUGAGAGGGUGUUCGGCCACCCGGGAACUGAGACACGCCCAAGACUCUUAGGGGAGGAAGCAGUGGGGAAUCUCCCGCAAGGGGCGAAAGCUGAAGGGAGAAACGCCGGGUGGUUAAAAAAGGUUUUCGGUUGGUAAAGCCUGUUUGUAAGGAAAAAAUGAAUAGGUAGUAACAAUCCUGGUAGAGACGGUACCUAACCAGAAAGCCACGGCUAACUACGUG